rnacentral:rRNA from 1 species
UACAGAGGUGCCGAGCGUUAGGCGGAAUCACUGGGCUUAAAGCGCGCGUAGGCGGACGGGUAAGUACCUUGUGAAAUCCCACGGCUCAACCGUGGAACGGCUGGGUAUACUGCCCGUCUUGAGGCACUCAGGGGCGAGCGGAACAAAUGGUGGAGCGGUGAAAUGCGUAGAUAUCAAGAGGAACACCUGAGGUGGAGACGGGUUGCUGGGCUGACACUGACGCUGAGGCGCGAAAGCCAGGGGAGCAAACGGG